GAUCAUGGCUCGGGAUGAACGCUAGCUACAGGCUUAACACAUGCAAGUCGAGGGGCAGCGUGAACUUAGCUUGCUAAGUUUGAUGGCGACCGGCGCACGGGUGAGUAACACGUAUCCAACCUGCCGAUGACUCGGGGAUAGCCUUUCGAAAGAAAGAUUAAUACCCGAUGGCAUAGUUCUUCCGCAUGGUAGAACUAUUAAAGAAUUUCGGUCAUCGAUGGGGAUGCGUUCCAUUAGGUUG
rnacentral:rRNA from 1 species